GACCUAGUGGCAGAAUGGUUAUGCGUCCGCGUUGCAACCGGGAAGACGCUGGUUCGAUUCCAGCCUAGGUCU
rnacentral:tRNA from 1 species